rnacentral:rRNA from 1 species
UACGUGAGGGGGCAAGCGUUGUCCGGAAUCAUUGGCGUAAAGCGCGUGGUAGGCUGCCUCGAAAGUCAAGGUGUGAAAUCCCUGGGCUCAACCCAGGAAGUGCACUUGAAACUUCGAAGACUCGAGUCCGGAGAGGGUGGCGGAAUUCUCGGUGUAGAGGUGAAAUUCGUAGAUAUCGAGAGGAACACCGGUGGCGAAGGCGGCUACCUGGACGGUGACUGACGCUGAGAACGCGAAAGCGUGGGGGAGCAAAACAGGG